rnacentral:rRNA from 1 species
GUGAACGCUGGCGGUAGGCCUAACACAUGCAAGUCGAACGGCAGCACAGUAAGAGCUUGCUCUUACGGGUGGCGAGUGGCGGACGGGUGAGGAAUACAUCGGAAUCUACUUUUUCGUGGGGGAUAACGUAGGGAAACUUACGCUAAUACCGCAUACGACCUACGGGUGAAAGCAGGGGAUCUUCGGACCUUGCGCGGUUGAAUGAGCCGAUGUCGGAUUAGCUAGUUGGCGGGGUAAAGGCCCACCAAGGCGACGAUCCGUAGCUGGUCUGAGAGGAUGAUCAGCCACACUGGAACUGAGACACGGUCCAGACUCCUACGGGAGGCAGCAGUGGGGAAUAUUGGACAAUGGGCGCAAGCCUGAUCCAGCCAUACCGCGUGGGUGAAGAAGGCCUUCGGGUUGUAAAGCCCUUUUGUUGGGAAAGAAAAGCAGCAGGUUAAUACCCCGCUGUUCUGACGGUACCCAAAGAAUAAGCACCGGCUAACUUCGUG